AAUAAUAAGCGGAGCAACACUUGUGCGUGAAGUGGGUCAGGGGAGGAAUCCAGCAGCCCUAAGCGAUUUUCGGGUGUGUGCUCUUUUUUUGUUGACUUU
rnacentral:SRP_RNA from 1 species